UACGGGGGGGGUAAGCGUUGUUCGGAAUUACUGGGCGUAAAGGGCUCGUAGGCGGCCAACUAAGUCAGACGUGAAAUCCCUCAGCUUAACUGGGGAACUGCGUCUGAUACUGGAUGGCUUGGAUUCGGGAGAGGAAUGCGGAAUUCCAGGUGUAGCGGUGAAAUGCGUAGAUAUCUGGAGGAACACCGGUGGCGAAGGCGGCAUUCCGGACCGACAUUGACGCUGAGGAGCGAAAGCCAGGGGAGCAAACGGG
rnacentral:rRNA from 1 species